rnacentral:rRNA from 1 species
UACAGAGGGCCCAAGCGUUGUUCGGAAUUACUGGGCGUAAAGCGCGUGUAGGCUGCUCCGCAAGUCGGGUGUGAAAGCCCUGGGCUCAACCUAGGAAGUGCACUCGAAACUGCGGAGCUGGAGUCCUGGAGAGGAAGGCGGAAUUCUCGGUGUAGAGGUGAAAUUCGUAGAUAUCGAGAGGAACACCGGUGGCGAAGGCGGCCUUCUGGACAGUGACUGACGCUGAGACGCGAAAGCGUGGGGAGCGAACAGG